rnacentral:rRNA from 1 species
AUUGAACGCUGGCGGCAUGCUUUACACAUGCAAGUCGAACGGUAACAGGUUGAGCUGACGAGUGGCGAACGGGUGAGUAAUGCAUCGGAACGUGCCCGAUCGUGGGGGAUAACACUUCGAAAGAAGUGCUAAUACCGCAUACGAUCUGAGGAUGAAAGCGGGGGACCGUAAGGCCUCGCGCGAUGGGAGCGGCCGAUGUCAGAUUAGGUAGUUGGUGGGGUAAAGGCUCACCAAGCCGACGAUCUGUAGCUGGUCUGAGAGGACGAGCAGCCACACUGGGACUGAGACACGGCCCAGACUCCUACGGGAGGCAGCAGUGGGGAAUUUUGGACAAUGGGCGCAAGCCUGAUCCAGCAAAGCCGCGUGCAGGAAGAAGGCCUUCGGGUUGUAAACUGCUUUUGUACGGAGCGAAAAGGCUCCCUCUAAUACAGGGGGCUCAUGACGGUACCGUAAGAAUAAGCACCGGCUAACUACGUGCCAGCCGCCGCGGUAA